rnacentral:misc_RNA from 1 species
AGCAAACUUGCUGCAACACUUAAUGCCACUCCAGUGCACCGAGAUGCCCGAUUACCAGGAGAAACAGGCCAUUGAUCCGUUUGAAGUUCAUCCAACAACGAAUUGAGGGUAUAUUCGCAUUCAGAAGCAGGCAAUAAAAAACGUGUAACACCUGAAUUAGGGAAUCCAUUCUGGACCCCCUUUUGAUACGCUCCAGCAACUCUCCGUGCUCCAACCGAAAGACCCAAUUGUUCCAAAACCUGAUCCUUAGAAA